GUCGCUGUGUGAAGUAUCGCGAGGCACAUUUGCAUAGACACGCUGAGAGAAAGAUGACAACAACUACAGUGCUGACGAUUUCCUUUGUAUUCUUCCUCGUCUUGGCUUCCCUCUGCAGAACCAGUCAGGGGUUUGCUUUAUCACUUACUGCAAGAAGAGAUGAACUUAAGAAGAGCAAGAGAAAGCAGGUAUCGGAUGGAGUUAGGCUGAGAAGAAAGCUUAAGAGACUGAAGGACAAAGAACUGGAGCUAGAAAGAAAAGUAUCAGAGUUAUCGAAGUGGGUUCGAAGAUACAAAACAACGCACAGAUCUAAGACGAAACACGGCAGAUUUUCUGGAGCAGAUACUUGGUGAAAUUUACGAAGACGAUGUUCACUCUUGCGAGGAACUGAAAAACAGAGUGCCAGCUCAAGAAAGAUCUGGAUGAAAUGUUAUUUAUUAGUAGGACGCUUUUUAGAAAAAAGAGAGUCUUGCAUCAUCAGAAUGUUAUUUAUUUGUAAACGGAAAAAGUGAAGCCAUAUAAUGAUUAUCUAUUUAUAAUAAAUACAUCUUUGAUAUUCGUUCAA